rnacentral:rRNA from 2 species
GACCAUGUGGUGUUCGGGUGUGCACCUGGGAAUGCUUGCCUACUCGAAGUCCAACUCCGAUUAUGGCUAGGACCAUGCCCAGAGCGGGUGAAAGGCCCGUUCGGGUAGGUUGCUGUUAUUUGAAGCAUUCCUCAGCCGUGCAUGCUCUCGAGUCGGAUUGCUUGAGAAUGCAGUCCAAAGAGGGUGGUAAACUCCAUCCAAGGCUAAAUACUGGCACGAGUCCGAUAGUAGACAAGUACCGUGAGGGAAAGUUGAAAAGUACUCUGAAGAGAGAGUAAAUAGCACGUGAAGCCGCUUGCAGGGAAGCUGGUGGAGUCAAGCUUCAUGUGCGGAGAAUUGUCAUGAGGACCAUCGUUGUUGUCUGGGACGUGAUACUGAUGAGCCUUGAAAUGGUUUGAUGCAUCUCGGUGCAUUCCAAGUCUUUCUGGGUAGAAUGUUUGGAUCGGUAUCUAUCUCCCUGGUCCU